GAAAUAUUUUAUAUUAAGCUUCUAACUUAAUUUUAGUGGUUAAUUCCAUUAAUAUUUCUUAUUUAUUUUUU
rnacentral:tRNA from 1 species